UCGCCCAAGUUAGUCCGCAUGAUAAAAGAAACAUUUACAUCAACCAGCGCAGAGUAAAGCAGAGUGGAGGUAGGUCCCCCCCCCCAGAUGGAGGUAGUGCC